rnacentral:rRNA from 1 species
AGAUUGAACGCUGGCGGCGUGCCUAACACAUGCAAGUCGAGCGGUAACAGGUGUAGCAAUACAUGCUGACGAGCGGCGAACGGGUGAGUAAUGCUUUGGAAUCUUCCCAGUAGUGGGGAAUAACCAGUCGAAAGAUUGGCUAAUACCGCAUACGUCUGUAAAGGGAAAGCGGGGGCUCGUAAGACCUCGCGCUAUUGGAUGAGCCAAAGUCGGAUUAGCUAGUUGGUGGGGUAAUGGCCUACCAAGGCGACAAUCCGUAGCUGGUCUGAGAGGACGACCAGCCACACCGGAACUGAGACACGGUCCGGACUCCUACGGGAGGCAGCAGUGGGGGAAUAUUGGACAAUGGGCGCAAGCCUGAUCCAGCCGUGCCGCGUGAGUGAUGAGGCCUUAGGGUGUAAGCUCUUCAGUGGGAAGAUAAUGACGGUACCACAGAAGAAGCCCCGGCUAACUUCGUGCCAGCAGCCGC